rnacentral:tRNA from 4 species
GGUGAGGUGGGUGAGAGGCUGAAACCACCAGUUUGCUAAACUGGCGUACGGGAAACUGUACCGCGGGUUCGAAUCCCGCCCUCACCGCCA